UAUUUUUCACCCUGCUCGGUUUCCUUUGUUCUUAUCGGGGAAUAUAUUCAAUAUUCUCCUCUAAUCAAUUUCCGUUUAAUAAUCCCUCUAAUAUUCACCUGCAAGUAAUAAUCCCCUCUAAUAUUCACCUGCAAUGUCUUUGCAGCACAAAAAAUGAGAAAAAAACGACAUAACGAAGGCAAUAUGGCAUUAAGAAUUAUUUCUAUUCUGACUCAUUAACGCGACCUCGCAAUGUGAAAAAUAAGUACGUUAUUUUGAGGCACCUCGGGGAUAUGUGUUUAUUAUCACAUAUCCCCUCGUUGCCUCAAAAUAACCUAUACUUAUACGAAUCGUAGAGGGUAGCCUCGCAGUAGCUCGGAAGAGUGAUUUUUAUUGGCUCGAUUUGACAAUUGCUUUUGUGUUUAUAACAAUGAAUUGCUUCGUUCUUUAGAAAACCCCAUCCAAUUGGAGACAACCUUCCGAGGCACUGCGAGGCUUCCAUCGUAGAGGUUACAUCACCAAAUUUCAACUUCGCUGCAAGGGGAAAGAAUAUUUUCUACUUUGUCGUCAGAAACUAAACAGCUUGAAUAGUUUUUGGGCUACCUAUAGACCUUAUUCAUAAAUCGUGAUCGAGGCCUCGUAUCCUAGGAGACGGGGAAAAACGCGGGAAAAUUGACAAAAUGUUUUUUUUGCUGUCGGCUAUGGCAGCUUUUUUUCGUGAAUAUUACGGCUUUUUUCGAAAAUAAUAUCUAUAAAACUGAGUUUGAAAGUUGAAAAAAAUACUUCUGAGAAAAUAUAACAUGAUAUUUAAAGCAAAAGAUGCUGGAGUCAAUCGAAAAAGGAAACCUUUGACUUUGUAUUAUUGCCAAGUUUGUAUGGCCAAAACAAACAACCAACAAGGCUACAAAACGUCUAUGCAACACCAAAAUCGUAAGAAAUAUGAAACUAUUGUUGAAGAAAUAAGAUUACAACUCACUCAGGUAAUGUAGCCUUCAUUUUUUAAACUCGUAAGCUGCUUGCAGAAUGUUAUCGAGCCACAGCCAUAGUUCAUAUUUUCCCGUACGAAUCAAUGACAUUUGACGUUCUCUUGUGAUUUUUGACCUCUUGUUUUCUUUCAUAUUAAUGUCAAAUUCGAAAAAUUAUACUUUCAUUCUAUAGUUGUCUUGAUUUUUCACGGAAUAACCUUUAUAUUGACGUUAAAAUCUCAGUAAAAUACUGUUUUUCGCUUCUGGAUAAACACUGUCGCUAUGUUGUCAUUUUUCCCACACAAAACCGGGAGAAAAACCGGUCGCUUUUAUAAUAUACUCGUUUACCGCUUUCGUUGUGGGCACAAAGUCUUAAAAUACACACAAAAUGUUAUAAAUCGCAAAAGGCAACAAGAAACAAGCCGUUGAAGUCGAUAUAUAGCAUCUGAAUUUGGCUUGUCAAGCAGUUUUCGCUUGUAUUCCCGCGUUUUUUU